rnacentral:tRNA from 1 species
GAAAUAAUAAAUUUUAAGCUUCUAACUUAACUAAAAAUAAUUUAAAUUAUUUUUAUUUCU